CACGUAGGGGGCAAGCGUUGUCCGGAAUCAUCGGGCGUAAAGAGCUCGUAGGCGGCUCAGUAAGUCGGGUGUGAAACCCCCAGGCUCAACCUGGGGACGCCACCCGAUACUGCUGUGGCUAGAGUCCAGUAGAGGAGUGUGGAAUUCCCGGUGUAGCGGUGAAAUGCGCAGAUAUCGGGAGGAACACCAGCGGCGAAGGCGGCACUCUGGGCUGGUACUGACGCUGAGGAGCGAAAGCGUGGGUAGCAAACAGG
rnacentral:rRNA from 1 species